CUCUUUCCCUACACGACGCUCUUCCGAUCUGUUUCCCAGUCACGAUAGAACCAGUACAGUGAUGGAAAGGUAAAAAGAACCCUUGAUAAGGGAGUGAAAUAGAACCUGAAACCAGCAGCUUACAAGCGAUCAGAGGCCUAUGCCUUAUUAAAUAAGGAAUGGCUGAUGGUGUGCCUUUUGCAUGAUGAGCCAGCGAGUUAUGUUAUACGGCGAGGUUAAGGGACGAACGUUCUGGAGCCGAAGCGAAAGCGAGUGCGAAUAGCGCGAUUUAGUCGUAUGACAUAGACACGAAACCAAGUGAUCUACCCAUGGCCAGGGUGAAGCAAGGGUAACACCUUGUGGAGGCCCGAACCAGUACCUGUUGAAAUAGGUUUGGAUGAGCUGUGGGUAGGGGUGAAAGGCCAAUCAAACUUGGAGAUAUCUUGUUCUCUUCGAAAUAACUCUAGGGUUAGCCUCAAUUAAGAGCGACCAGGGGGUAGAGCACUGAAUUUCUAAGGGGCCUUACCGGGCUACCGAGGAAAAUCAAACUCCGAAUACCUGGAAGUAAAUUGGGAGAUAGACAGCGGGGGAUAAGCUUCGUUGUCAAAAGGGGAACAGCCCAGAUCGUCGAUUAAGGCCCCAAAUUCUAUACUAAGUGGGUAAGGAAGUGAAGUUUCCGAAACAAUUGGGAUGUUGGCUUAGAGGCAGCCAUCAUUUAAAGAGUGCGUAACAGCUCACCAAUCGAGAAACUUUGCGCCGAUAAUUUACGGGACUAAAGUAUAGAGCCGAAAUCACGGGUUUAGUAUUAGAUACUAAGCGGUAGGAGAGCGUUGUAUGUGCGUAGAAGGUAUACCGUAAGGAGUGCUGGAGCGCAUACAAGUGAGUAUGCAUGGCAUGAGUAAACGAUAAAGGAAGUGAAAAUCUUCCUCGCCGAAAAUCCAAGGUUUCCAGGGUAAAGCUCGUCUUCCCUGGGUUAGCCGGUCCCUAAGCCGAGGCGGAAACGCGUAGGUGAUGGAAAUCAGGUUAAAUAUUCCUGAGCCACCGAAGGUGAUACAAAGGAGUGACGAAGUAAGUUAAUCAUGCGGACAAUUGGAAAAGUCCGUUUGGUCAUGGCGUUGGUCGGAUAGGCAAAUCCGCCGACAGGAUACGCGGUGAUUGACAAGGGGAAUCUACGGAGGAACCGAUGAUGAAGCGCGAGACUUCCAAGAAAUAACUUCUAGUUUCUGAAGGUGACCGUACCAAAACCGACACAGGUGGAUGUGAAGAGUAUUCUCAGGCGCGCGAGAGAACUCUCGUUAAGGAACUCGGCAAAUUAUCCUCGUAACUUCGGGAGAAGAGGAGCCACUAGCCGUAGCUCAUUAACAUGAGACGCGGAGAGUGGCCGCAGAGAAAUGGCCCAGGCGACUGUUUAACAAAAACACAGCACUAUGCGAACUCGUUUAAGAGGAGGUAUAUGGUGUGAUGCCUGCCCAAUGCCAAAAGGUCAAAUGAUGGGGUGCAAGCUCUUGAUUGAAGUCCCAGUAAACGGCGGCCGUAACUAUAACGGUCCUAAGGUAGCGAAAUUCCUUGUCGGGUAAGUUCCGACCUGCACGAAUGGCGUAACGAUGGCCAC
rnacentral:rRNA from 1 species